GAUGAACGCUGGCGGCGUGCCUAAUACAUGCAAGUCGAGCGAACGGACGAGAAGCUUGCUUCUCUGAUGUUAGCGGCGGACGGGUGAGUAACACGUGGAUAACCUACCUAUAAGACUGGGAUAACUUCGGGAAACCGGAGCUAAUACCGGAUAAUAUUUUGAACCGCAUGGUUCAAAAGUGAAAGACGGUCUUGCUGUCACUUAUAGAUGGAUCCGCGCUGCAUUAGCUAGUUGGUAAGGUAACGGCUUACCAAGGCAACGAUGCAUAGCCGACCUGAGAGGGUGAUCGGCCCCACUGGAACUUAAGACCGGUCCAGACUCCUACGGGAGGCCGCCGUAGGGAAUCCUCCCGCAUGGGGCGAAGCCUUGCGGAGCAAACCCGCGUGAGUUGAUGAGGUCUUCGGAUCGUAAAACUCUGUUUUUAGGGAAAAACAUAUUUUUAAGUAACUGUGCACAUCUUGACGGUACCUAAUCAGAAAGCCACGGCUAACUACGUG
rnacentral:rRNA from 1 species